rnacentral:rRNA from 1 species
UAUGGAAUCUUCCACAAUGGGCGAAAGCCUGAUGGAGCAACGCCGCGUGUGUGAUGAAGGGUUUCGGCUUGUAAAACACUGUUGUAAGAGAAGAAUGACAUUGAGAGUAACUGUUCAAUGUGUGACGGUAUCUUACCAGAAAGGAACGGCUAAAUACGUGCCAG